CUACGGGACGCAGCAGGCGAGAAAACUUUGCAAUGUGCGAAAGCACGACAAGGUUAAUCCGAGUGGUUUGUGCCAAACGAACCUUUUGACAGUCCUAGAAACACUGUUGAAUAAGGGGUGGGCAAGUUCUGGUGUCAGCCGCCGCGGUAAAACCAGCACCUCAAGUGGUCAGGAUGAUUAUUGGGCCUAAAGCAUCCGUAGCCGGCUCUGUAAGUUUUCGGUUAAAUCUGUACGCUCAACGUACAGGCUGCCGGGAAUACUGCAGAGCUAGGGAGUGGGAGAGGUAGACGGUACUCGGUAGGAAGGGGUAAAAUCCUUUGAUCUAUUGAUGACCACCUGUGGCGAAGGCGGUCUACCAGAACACGUCCGACGGUGAGGGAUGAAAGCUGGGGGAGCAAACCGGAUUAGAUACCCUCGUAGUC
rnacentral:rRNA from 1 species